UACGUAGGGGUGCGAGCGUUGUCCGGAAUUACUGGGCGUAAAGGGCUCGUAGGCGGUUUGUCACGUCAAGGAGUGAAAACUCGGGGCUUAACCCCGAGCCUGCUUCUGAUACGGGCAGGACUAGAGGUAUGCAGGGGAGAACGGAAUUCCCGGUGUAGAGGUGAAAUUCGUAGAUAUCGGGAGGAACACCAGUGGCGAAGGCGGCUCACUGGCCCGGUACUGACGCUGAGGCGCGAAAGCGUGGGGAGCAAAGCAGG
rnacentral:rRNA from 1 species